rnacentral:rRNA from 1 species
AGCGAACGCUGGCGGCAGGCCUAACACAUGCAAGUCGAACGAACCCUUCGGGGUUAGUGGCGGACGGGUGAGUAACACGUGGGAACGUGCCUUUAGGUUCGGAAUAACUCAGGGAAACUUGUGCUAAUACCGAAUGUGCCCUUCGGGGGAAAGAUUAAUCGCCUUUAGAGCGGCCCGCGUCUGAUUAGCUAGUUGGUGGAGGUAAUGGCUCACCAAGGCGACGAUCAGUAGCUGGUCUGAGAGGAUGAUCAGCCACAUUGGGACUGAGACACGGCCCAAACUCCUACGGGAGGCAGCAGUGGGGAAUCUUGCGCAAUGGGCGAAAGCCUGACGCAGCCAUGCCGCGUGAAUGAUGAAGGUCUUAGGAUUGUAAAAUUCUUUCACCGGGGACGAUAAUGACGGUACCCGGAGAAGAAGCCCCGGCUAACUUCGUG